GCCUUCGUGGUGUAAUGGCCAAGCACACUCAGCGCGUAUUCGAGAGGUCCGUGGUUCGAGUCCGGGCGAGGGCA
rnacentral:tRNA from 1 species